GGUUGUGGCUCAGUGGUAGUGCGCUUACCUAGCAUGUGUGAGGCACUGGGUUAGAUCCUCAGCGCCA
rnacentral:tRNA from 1 species